GAGACGUUAGUAAAAUAUUACACUGCUUUGUCAAGGCAGAAUUGUGAGUUAAAUCCUCGCACAUCUUA
rnacentral:tRNA from 1 species